GAACUUUGGAUCUGAUGUCAGUUAGGGUUUCACUUCGUUUAAUUUGUUUGAAUUUGCUGAUAUAUAUUUGGUUGAAUUUGCUGAUAUAUAUUUGUUUGAAUUUGCUGAUAUCUGAAACCUUUGCUGAUAUUCAACCACAAGCACCGACUCGAAAUUAAGCUCAAGGAGAUGGAUGGAGUGACAAUCUCCGAACAAUAACCAACCGAGAAGAAAAUAGGCUUCCCUGAUUGGAUAAACUUGAUGAAGCCCACCAAUGAGGAGAAAGAUCAUUGGAAUGUUGUUGUCUCGAGAUUGAAAUCUUGGAUCCAUAAAGUUGUAAAUGAAGAUUUAGAAGAAGAUGCUGCAAUAAAACUGACAAAAAACCGACAUUUGCUGAAGAAGCUGCUGCUGCUG